rnacentral:tRNA from 1 species
GAGGGUAUAGCUCAGUGGCAGAACACGUGUUUAGCAUGCAGGACAUCCUGGGUUCAAUCCCCAGUACCUCCA